AACGCUAGCUACAGGCUUAACACAUGCAAGUCGAGGGGAAACGACAUCGAAAGCUUGCUUUUGAUGGGCGUCGACCGGCGCACGGGUGAGUAACGCGUAUCCAACCUGCCCACCACUUGGGGAUAACCUUGCGAAAGUAAGACUAAUACCCAAUGACAUCCCACGAAGACAUCUGAAUGGGAUUAAAGAUUUAUCGGUGAUGGAUGGGGAUGCGUCUGAUUAGCUUGUUGGCGGGGUAACGGCCCACCAAGGCAACGAUCAGUAGGGGUUCUGAGAGGAAGGUCCCCCACAUUGGAACUGAGACACGGUCCAAACUCCUACGGGAGGCAGCAGUGAGGAAUAUUGGUCAAUGGACGAGAGUCUGAACCAGCCAAGUAGCGUGCAGGAUGACGGCCCUAUGGGUUGUAAACUGCUUUUAUAAGGGAAUAAAGUGAGUCUCGUGAGACUUUUUGCAUGUACCUUAUGAAUAAGGACCGGCUAAUUCCGUGCCAGCAGCCGCGGUAAUACGGAAGGUCCGGGCGUUAUCCGGAUUUAUUGGGUUUAAAGGGAGCGUAGGCCGGAGAUUAAGCGUGUUGUGAAAUGUAGAUGCUCAACAUCUGAACUGCAGCGCGAACCGGUUUCCUUGAGUACGCACAAAGUGGGCGGAAUUCGUGGUGUAGCGGUGAAAUGCUUAGAUAUCACGAAGAACUCCGAUUGCGAAGGCAGCUCACUGGAGCGCAACUGACGCUGAAGCUCGAAAGUGCGGGUAUCGAACAGGAUUAGAUACCCUGGUAGUCCGCACGGUAAACGAUGGAUGCCCGCUGUUGGCGAUACACAGUCAGCGGCCAAGCGAAAGCAUUAAGUAUUCCACCUGGGGAGUACGCCGGCAACGGUGAAACUCAAAGGAAUUGACGGGGGCCCGCACAAGCGGAGGAACAUGUGGUUUAAUUCGAUGAUACGCGAGGAACCUUACCCGGGCUUAAAUUGCAGCGGAAUGUAGUGGAAACAUUACAGCCUUCGGGCCGCUGUGAAGGUGCUGCAUGGUUGUCGUCAGCUCGUGCCGUGAGGUGUCGGCUUAAGUGC
rnacentral:rRNA from 1 species